GAAAAAAAAAAAGAAAAAACCUGAUGCUGUAACAUCCCUACCCUCCCACACCCACCCUCGCUUGUCCCGAAACUCUCUAUGGUUUAGUUCUCCAGGUCAUGUUUCAUGCGAUGAGUGUCCCCUAGCCCCUCCCAUGUGGAAGGCCACAGAAAGAUGAACAUUAUGCUUCACAACAGAAUCACGAUACAGCUGCAAACAUGAGAAAAUUCUCUCACUUCUACCAGCUGGUCUCUUUGUGGGUAAUUUGAGGGUGGGGCCACCUUGAAGGGCUAUACCUUCUCAGAAUGGGGGACUCAACAGCCCUUGGCAUAGGCUUGGGUCCACGUUGUCCUUAAGCUUACCAACCUGUGGCUCUAGGUGGCAACCUCCCCCCUAGGUAGGGACAGAGGACCCUUACACAUCCUUCCCUACGACCACUAGGGCUCCUGCUGAAGCUUCCCUUCCUGGACUCCCCUCCAGACUCCCAAUGCUUCGAGGACCAGGUUUACUGGGAGGUACCUGGGGAGCAGGAGGCUGAGACCCAGAGGCCUCUGAGAACUGAGGAACCAGACACCCAGGCCUAAUUGCUGCCAGCAUGACUGAUGGACGCUGUCCUCAGAGAAGACAAUGGCUCCUGCCAUUGGUUACUCCUGCUUUUGUUACUAUUGUGUGAGGAAGUCUUCCACCCCCAGGAGGAUCCCCAUUAGCUUGUGCCUGUGGCCAGAAAAGGCCAAAGCCAGCCCUAGGUGACUGCCACCCCAUUGACCAGUGUUACCCUAUUCCAGUGACACCCAAGCCAGGUCCACUCUGGGUGGGAAGCUGGGUGAUAAACAAGUAUCACCAAGGACUCUGACACCUUGUGUUUGUGCCUCUCCCCUCCGCUGCUGAGGCCAAAGUCUUAUGGCAAACCUUGGUGUUGACAAAUCCUCCUUGAGUCCACAGAACUCCAAGAUACUACAGUCUGCUGUAAAUGUCUCAACUAGUCCCAUCCUCUCCAGGGAGGGGCACUAUUAUCCAGAAUGUCUGUGUCUAUUUUAGUCAUCCAAUGCUGUCCCCCAAUCCUUCCUGGUCCUUACUUAAUUGUUGUUGCCCUGACUCUCAACUGGCUUUCCACCGCUGAGCAGAAGAGGAAGAAGCUCAAGAGGAGCAUCAAAAUGGUGGGCUGCCACAAAACCUCAGCAGUUGGAGGCAGCCAUCACCCGAUGCCAGUUCUUGGCCGGCCCUGACCAAUGUGAAGGGAGGGUCCUGCGGUUCUGGGGCUGUGGAUGAGGAAGGCAGCUGGGCUCUUGUUGCUUUGAAUCAUUUGACCACAUGAGGGCGCUCUAAACCAACAGACGGUGCCGCCUCCCUCACCUAGUUCCUUCCGGCCUAACCUUCCUAGCCGCAUCAGUGUCGGUCCUCAGGCACCCGUGCCAAAGCCUUCCCUGAGCUCCACUCCUUCUACAUGUCAGAGGAUGCCAGAAACUUCAUAUCUCAUCCCACUCUUGGCGACUUCAUCCCUUCCCCAUGAGGCACUGGGACUCCCUUUC
rnacentral:lncRNA from 1 species